CUGCGGCGCAUUUAAGAGAGGUCGGAUCCGGAAGUCCAUCCUCUUGCCUUGGAGGAGACACAACGAUGAGCAGAGACGAGCGUUGCUCAGCAUAACAUGAGAAAACUAAGAAGACUGCAUCAUGUUUAGUCUUCAUAACGACGGUGUGUGGAUGAAGAUGGAACAUUUUAUCUGAUUGGUACACCUGAUAAGAUGUCGAGUCACCAUUGUCUACUAUAGAUGGCCAAAUAUUGGUUUUCACCGUGUGGACCUUAAGCUGCUUCAGAAGUCACCCUGUGGUCAGGCACAUGCACCCAAUUUAAUCCUUUGUCUCUUGUGCUGAUCUGGAGAUGAGCAGUUGGUGCAGCAGUGGAACAAAAACGGUGUCUGCUUCAUCUUAUGUGGUUACAGGAGCAGCUGGCCGAUCAGAACGUAUUACGGGGUAGCCUCAUUUGAAAGUGUUGCCGGAGCUGAUGGAUGGCCAGUUGGAGGAAAUCUGGAGAUUUGGGUUUUUUUGGGGGGUGAUGCCCCAUCAUUAAAAAUCUUAUUGAAUCAAUGUUUCCCUGCA